UACGUAGGCAGCAAGCGUUACUCGGAAUUACUGGGCGUAAAGGGCGCGUAGGUGGUUUGUUAAGUCUGCUGUGAAAUCCCCGGGCUCAACCUGGGAAUGGCAGUGGAUACUGGCAAGCUAGAGUGCGGUAGAGGGUAGUGGAAUUCCCGGUGUAGCAGUGAAAUGCGUAGAGAUCGGGAGGAACACCAGUGGCGAAGGCGGCUACCUGGACCAGCACUGACACUGAAGCACGAAAGCGUGGGGAGCAAACAGG
rnacentral:rRNA from 1 species